CCAAUAGCGUAUAUUAAAGUUGUUGCAGUUAAAAAGCUCGUAGUUGAAUUUCGGGGUCAGUAGGUUGGUCGUGCCACCGGUACGUACUGGUCUCACUGAUUCCUCCUUCCUGAUGAGCUGUAAUGCCAUUAAUUUGGUGUUGCAGGGAAUCUGGACUGUUACUUUGAAAAAAUUAGAGGGUUUAAAGCAGGCUAACGCUUGAAUACAUUAGCAUGGAAUAAUGAAAUAGGACGUUCGAUCCUAUUUUGUUGGUUUCUAGGAUUGACGUAAUGAUUAAUAGGGAUAGUUGGGGGCAUUAGUAUUAAAUUGUCAGAGGUGAAAUUCUUGGAUUUAUUGAAGACUAACUACUGCGAAAGCAUUUGCCAAGGAUGUUUUCAUUAAUCAAGAACGAAAGUUAGGGGAUCGAAGACGAUCAGAUACCGUCGUAGUCUUAACCAUAAACUAUGCCGACUAGGGAUCGGAUGAUGUUAAUUUUUUAAUGACUCAUUCGGCGCCUUACG
rnacentral:misc_RNA from 1 species